GAGAGGGAGGGCGAUCUGGCUGUGACGACUCAGUUACACCAUUAAUCCCCAGGGUUGAUUCAGCUGAUCUGGCUGGCUAGGUGGGCGCCCCCUUCCUCCCUCACCGCUCCAUGCAUGUGCACUCUGUUGAAGAGGACGACCUUCUCUGAUAGAGGAGAGGACCGUUCUUCCGUCAGAGGGAGAG
rnacentral:snRNA from 1 species